AACGAUAAGUUAAAACAUCAUUUAAAUGCCUACAGACAGGUUUCCAAGUUUAAAGUGUUUGUACAUAUGUAUACAUAAGUGUUUCAUCUGCGCACAAUUUUUAAUAAUUGCUAGAAACUUACGCACGUGUCUCUGAAAUUAUUUCUUGAUUUUUGUCUCCCACUUAUCAGAUAAUUAGUAUCUUAUUUCAAAAAAAAAUCUGGUAAGAAAAAAAUAAUCCAGAGCUAUUUUCAUUUUUAAGUUUAAGGCCUGGCCUGGCCACUACUUGAGAAUAAGAGGAGUUUUUUCUUUCUUAGCAUGGGCUACAACAGCUACUCUGUAAACAGAAUGUCUUAAACAGGACAUAAUAGUGAGAAAUAUUUGUAAUUUAUGAAACUAUGUAACUUCACAAACCGCAGUUGUAAAAAUAUACAUAGAAACACUGUUUAGCAUGUGAGCUGGGUAGCGUUACUGUUUUGCUAUGUUACUUAAAACUGCACAAUCUGUUUGCUUUUUUCUUAAUAGUAUUUUUCUUAUUCUCUUAAGCACAAGGUAGAAAAAAGAAAAUUCAGUUAAAAUGCUCAUAGAUUUAAAACACUGCAGAGAAUAUUUUGCAGCCUCCUGGCACCAGUAUUUAGGAAGUCAUGACCAUUUAUGCCACCAAUCUCUUUUCAUAUGUAAUCUACUAAAUCCUGUGAAAAAUAACUUGAAGAGUGGUAAUAAUGCAUCUCCUGAUCUUUCUCCCACUAUCCUUGUCUCCAGACCAACAGUUUGAAAUUGUCACUGAUCUUCCAUCAGCACUUCCUCUGUUUCCCUGCUGAUAAAGCAUCACGAUGCAAAAGCCUCCAGCUUGUCAGCCCUGGUUGGAGACACUGUUUUACCAGAUUAAAUACUAACUACUAUACUUCCCACCAGGAGAGACAGCUCCAUCCUGCCUGUCAUUAAAUAGAGAACAAAGCCUAGUGGCUACAGUCCAGAAAUCACAAGUCUAACUGUGAAUACUUCACUUUUGUGCAAAGGUUUAUAUAGCAAGGUUUAUGCAUCAGCUUAAUUUCACACCACAUCGUUAUUUUGAGCAUCCCUAAAAUCUUAAUAAAUGUCAGUGCUGGGUAGUUAAAGUAUUUAAUUAAAUGGACAUACUGAAAUAGAGUUCCCAAGUAAAUGGAAGAUAAUUUAACUUGUAAAAAAUCUAUUUAUUAAUGAAGAAAUUCUGGAAACUUAUUUCUGUGUCGGGGAACUGUAUUUACUGUGCCUUGUAAGAUCUUUUGCUUGUGUUCUAGCACUGUUUUAGCUUAGUUUAAGAGUCUAUAUGCAGAUUAAGAGUUUAUAUAGAUUAAGAGUUUAUAUGCAGCUUUUCUACAGGGAAGGCGGUCUUCAUACAAAUGACUGCACGAAGACUGAUCUCAUUUGUUACACACUUACAGGUUCUCUGGGCUGUGAUGUUUUUAAUAAGCUGUAGAAUACCUUGAGCAGCUUCUUCAGAGCACAUCGAUUCUCAAAAAUUUUGAAAUAUUCCCUACAGUGUUUAUUUCUCUCUAGCACUAUUUAUCUAAAUACAGUAACUGAGACCAAGCAACUGUUGCUGGGAUGUGAGCUCCUGCCAAGUAACAUUGGGAUAGGUCUGUCAAUUGUUCAAAUGAAAACACUUUAUUCUCUCAGUUGGCAACUACUUUCAGCUUCCACUCAUUGUAAAUAUUAAAAUCAGUGGAAACUGGAUGGACUCCAUCCUUAACAGUUUAGCAAAUCAGGCCCAAAUGGUCAAAUUUCUGUAAAAAGUUGCUAACUAGCAAACGUAGAAAGUCCAAGUACUGUUUGAAAUUUAAAGCUGAGCUCUACUAGCUAAAUUCAGAAAUAGAAUUUUACCCCCUUUGAUUCUAUUUAUUUUUUGAAGCAUUCACUUGACAACUUUUGGCACUUUGAGACUUUAAGCACUUCACUGCAUUACCAAAACAAAAAAAUAGGUUGACUACGAUGCUAUACUUUGGUAUAGCAUCAGUUGUAAAACUGAAUUUUAGUAUCUUGUAUAAAAACUUCUCAACCUUAAAUCAGCUGUGUUCUCUUUGCCAAAGGAUCAUUCCUUUCUAAUAGCAUCUGAUUUUGACUGUCUUUCCUAAAGUCUAAUUUCAUAGCACUUCAGUGUGUAAAGAUUAACUUACACUGCUUUAAGGUACAGACUGUCAAAGCUGAGGAAUCAUAUUCUGAUUACAGUCACAAUGGUCCUCGGUUUGGGAAUUUAACUGAUGUUUUGUGUGUCCGUUUGCAUCAAGUAAAAUUAAUAAUAAUCCAAAAUGCCUCUGUAGGAGGCUUCUAUAUAACUGGAGAAAUCUUCCUUAAAGCAAAAUGAGCUCGCUGUUGCGGCGUGCUACGCGUUUUGUGACAUACUGCAGGGGGCAGUCCUCCAAUUAAAUGCAUCCAACUGAAUGUCGUUGCGAAGUCUGACUGUGUGAUGGCAGCUACCCACAGCUUCUGUCCAGGAGCCCUACUAAGAAUUUGUAGCAAGAAUGUUCUUCUUUAAGAUGAAUUUCACUGCUCUUUCACGUUAUAUUCAUAGAAGAACUAUACAAAUUUUACGAGAUGAAUGUGUUAGAGCUUCUAGUUAAGAAAUUUUACAUUGAUAUUUUUUCUCUCUUACAAUUUGGCAUUUUAUUCUGAUUUUUUUUUCCCUAAAUUAAGUAACAUCAGCAUACAAUUUAUUAAAGGCAUACAAACUACUGGCCCAUUUUCUUUUAAUUUUUUGUUUCCGUUUCACUACAUCUUAAUAAAUUUUUGUAUUUCAGUACAGGUCAAACAGUGGGUAACGUAUACAGUCAUACACUGUACUGUAAUGAAUCAAGUGGGACAUUACAAACUUCUUUUCUUCACUACAGUUGUCUGAACUCACACAACCUGUAUCUUCAAAGCUGAUGCUGAAAAGUCCCUUUUCUGUAUCACUUGUAUACAGUGUUUGUUAUUGUUUGUUUGUUUUUUUCUUGCCAGAUUAUCACAAAAUAGUCCAGUUUUUAAAAAUACUCAGAGAAGCCCAGCAUACACACAGUUCCUGACCACGUUACUUGAAGAACUCCAUUUCAAAAAUGAAGAUCUGGAAAGUUUAACAAGAAUAUUUAGAUAAACAGCCCACCUGAAUGAACAAGGUGAUCAUCGUAACAUCUCCCACUACCUGAAAGAGCUGCAUGGAGAAAAACAAACAUCUUCAGUUGUUGGAAUGUCUCUUUUUUAAUGAAAAAUAAAAUUAAGUAUUCAUUGUA